CCUGAGAAAGAAGGCCCUUUGCGACAGAGCGUGGAACUUACGCCAACCCACAAUCUGGAGGCUUUGAGGUCAUUUGAACGACACAUCAUUUCCCGCAACCCAUGAAAUGAUGUACUGCUGUUGCUGUCAGUGAAUACUUGUUGAAAGCUCCUGCCUGAGAAAGAAGGCCCUUUGCGACAGAGCGUGGAACUUACGCCAACCCACAAUCUGGAGGCUUUGAGGUCAUUUGAACGACACAUCAUUUCCCGCAACCCAUGAAAUGAUGUACUGCUGUUGCUGUCAGUGAAUACUUGUUGAAAGCUCCUGCCUGAGAAAGAAGGCCCUUUGCGACAGAGCGUGGAACUUACGCCAACCCACAAUCUGGAGGCUUUGAGGUCAUUUGAACGACACAUCAUUU